AGACACUCCCAAUGUUUAGUUAAAGUGUGUUUUAAUUAAGUUGUUUAGACAAACCUCCAAGCUGGUCACAUUCUCCCCUCCCUUAGCAAGGAUGCAGGCCACUAAUUGAACUGCCUGAAAUCAGUUUGCUGCUCCAGACAAGUACUGACCUGUACUUGCAAAAGUAGCGAAGGUCCUUUCAAAGAUAACCAAAAUGACUGAAGCAACACAGACUGCCUGCAGUACUUUGCAGGAACAGCUGUAGGCUAAAAAAGAAUACAAAAAUAGUGAAAACCUACUACAGACCAACUUAUGUGGGAAGUCCCAGUUCUCACUCAAAAUGGGGCUUAUAUCAGUUGAAUGGAAUCCUACAUUUGUGCUGUGUACAAACACUAGAUAUGUUUUACUUUUCUGAAUGAAACUAUAUUCACAUUCAAGCAUAUUUUUUUUCCUCAGGAUUGAACAGAAAGAGUACUGCUUAACGUUCUCCCACAUAUCUCAAACUUUCCAGUAUCUAAAAAAUAAACAAAACAUACUGAAGUUGCUUUCUGUACUUCACUACAAUACAUUACCCAACCAAUCCUAUUCAGAAUAUGAUCUGCACUUUCUGUCUCUGAAGCUACCUUUUAAUUUCAGAGAUAUGCUGACUCCAAGAAGAGACAGGAGGCUCCAUCUGAACAGCCAUCUGAACUCGCUGUAUGGUGAAAGCAAGGCUGGACUGUGCAUACCUGGGAAACCAGCCAGACACAGGCAGAACACCAUGCUUUUCAAGACAGACAAGAACCAGAACUCUCUGUUCUCUUUGCUCGGGCAGAAGCUGUUUGAGGAGGGCUGACACGGGUGACAGGCAGCAGUAUGAAACAGCAAGGAAGAUGACAACCAUCUGUGGGCCACAGUAUCUGCAUAAAAUACGACUCUAUUGUCUACAUAGAAUGAAGCCUUGAAAGGACCAUAGGAAGAGACAAAACUGGAAAACUGUAUAUAGUGUCUUGUCCACUAUGUGUUUCUGAAGAUGCCAGACCUUCACAAACCAAUGCAUGCUCCUGCUCAAAUAACUGUACCAACACUGACUUUUUUUGAACAACGUUACAUACAG